UAAAGAUUCAUCGCUGAUAGAUAGGCAUGCGUUCCAUUAGGCAGUUGGCGGGGUAACGGCCCACCAAACCGACGAUGGAUAGGGGUCCUGAGAGGAAGGUCCCCCACAUUGGUACUGAGACACGGACCAAACUCCUACGGGAGGCAGCAGUGAGGAAUAUUGGUCAAUGGGCGUAAGCCUGAACCAGCCAAGUCGCGUGAGGGAUGAAGGUUCUAUGGAUCGUAAACCUCUUUUAUAAGGGAAUAAAGUGUGGGACGUGUCCUAUUUUGUAUGUACCUUAUGAAUAAGGAUCGGCUAACUCCGUGCCAGCAGCCGCGGUAAUACGGAGGAUCCGAGCGUUAUCCGGAUUUAUUGGGUUUAAAGGGUGCGUAGGCGGCCUUUUAAGUCAGCGGUGAAAGUCUGUGGCUCAACCAUAGAAUUGCCGUUGAAACUGGGGGGCUUGAGUAUGUUUGAGGCAGGCGGAAUGCGUGGUGUAGCGGUGAAAUGCUUAGAUAUCACGCAGAACCCCGAUUGCGAAGGCAGCCUGCCAAGCCAUGACUGACGCUGAUGCACGAAAGCGUGGGGAUCAAACAGGAUUAGAUACCCUGGUAGUCCACGCAGUAAACGAUGAUCACUAGCUGUUUGCGAUACAGUGUAA
rnacentral:rRNA from 1 species